rnacentral:rRNA from 1 species
UCGAGAAUCUUCGGCAAUGGGCGAAAGCCUGACCGAGCGACGCUGCGUGCGGGAUGAAGGCCCUUGGGUUGUAAACCGCUGUCAGAGGGGAUGAAAGCGCAAGCUUGACAGAGCCUCAGAGGAAGCGCGGGCUAAGUUCGUGCCAGCAGCCGCGGUAAUACGAACUGCGCAAACGUUAUUCGGAAUCACUGGGCUUACAGGGUGCGUAGGCGGUUCGCUAGGUCAGGUGUGAAAUCCCACAGCUCAACUG